AUCGCUUCUCGGCCUUUUGGCUAAGAUCAAGUGUAGUAUCUUUUUUCCUUCUUCAGAUAGAUAUCCAGAGUCAGAAAGACCACAGAAGGUAGCAGAACUCUCAACAGGUUAGUCUCUAAAUAAGGACAUGAACCCAGAACUUUUUCUCCCCAAACUAACUGUUUAGUAAGCAGAAAUAAACUUCCACUCUUUUAUUUAUUUAUUUAUUUAUU
rnacentral:snRNA from 1 species